rnacentral:lncRNA from 1 species
ACAUUUUACACAUAUUAAAAAUAUUAAAUGCUUGAAGAAAAAUUUAAAGUAUUUUAAUAAAAAAAUAUAAAUUACAGAUGAACAUUUCUUAAAUACAUGAUUAACUUUUAUCAUAAACAUCAUAUAUGUUUUUCCAUAUACAUGACAAAAACUUUUUCUAUACACAUUUAACAUUUUAUCCAACGUUUUAUGAAAAAGAUAGUUUUUUUAAUAUCAUAUUUUCAGAAUAUUUGGAAAUAUAAAAACUUAAAAGGAACACAAAAUAUGAAAAUUAAAACGUGAAAAAACAACCCAAAAGAAAACGAGGCUGGGCUGUGGUUUCCUGCACGCUGGCCAGCUUUUCUGUGUAGGCGCCUUAGACGAGUUUAUCGUUAUAAGCGAGACAUAGUGCUGCCCCCGAAAUCUGUGCUUAAGACCGUGGCUAGUCUGUGCUCGUUCGUUCGACAUGACCGGUUGACUGUUGACUUCAGAAAAACAUAAAUUCAGAAAAGAAAACGUAAAUCUAGAAAAGUUCACACAUUUGGAAAGAAGGUCAAAAAUUUGAAAAAAAGAUUCCCAAAUAUCAACAAAUUUGCAAAUAUGAAAAAAGUACAUAAACUUUGAAACAAAUAUCAAGUUUGGUGAAAAACUUAUUGAAUUUUUUAAAAAUCAUGAAUUUCUAGAUAGUUCAUAAAUUUUUAUAAAAAAUGAAAUUUGUUUAAAAAAUAUAUUCAUGUGAUAUGGCCCAUUUGUUUUUUUGGUUAGUUUUCCUUUUGUUCCAAAUUUAUUAUUUUAGCCAUCAUAGCAACGACUACGACAUCCUGAGUCGAGCCCUUGCCAGAUUUUGGUUGGUUUUUAUUUUAGUAAUUUUUCAUUUCAUACUUUUAUAAAAUAGUCUGAAAAUGAAAAUAUAUUCAUGAAUAUUUUAAAAUGAUUAAAGACUAAAUAAGUUUCACAAUUUUUUAGAAUGUGAACCCUCACUAAACACAAUGUUCAACCCAUAUAAAAAAUCAGCAUUUUAAAAAUAGUUCAUCUAUUUUAGAAAAAAUCAUCAUGUAAUUCAAAAUUAUUAACUAUAUAUUUGGAAAUACUCAUUUAUAUAUAAAUUGAUUAAAUAUUCGUAAAUAUUUUCUUAUUGGUAAAUUAUGUCCAUCUUGUAUUUAUAAGUAAGUUCAUGUAUAAAAUUCAAACAUAAAGAAGAAAUCAAAUAAAAAGUGAAAAGGAGAAAAUAACAAAAAUAUAAGAAAAAGGGUUUAAAAAAUUUAGGUAUAAUGACCAAAGUUUUUGUCAUAACUUUUAUGAAAAAGUAUUUUGUUAACAAGAUUUAUGACCAAAACUACAGUAAUACCAUAUUUACUUAUUAUUUACGAUUAGCUGUUAGCCUUUCUAACUGGGUUAUAAAUAAAUAAUAAUAACGAUUCCGCGACCAAAAACGAGUAGUUAUUUUGGUUGAAGUUUCUCUUCAUGUCUUAUUGUGUUGGGACAUAAUUUAUUUAUUGGUUCUAAGCACACUCUUUAAUGAUAUUUGUAACUUGGUUUAAUUGAUCAAUGUAGUGAAACCAAAGCCUUUUUAGCUCUUUUUCUCUAGAUAAAGUAAGUACAUUUUAUAUUAAACUAUUAUACUUAUUUAUAAUAUCAUUUGUUAUCAAAAUAUGAUGUUCACGAGUAUGUUAUUUUAUUACUUAUUUUCAUAGUUAACCACACAAAUAAUAUUGCUAAAUGUAAACUACGUGUAUGUUCUAACAAAAUAUUUCGGAAAUUAGACAAAUUAUAUAGUGUAUAAUAUUGUUGAGUGUUCUUCGGUUAUGUAGUUCAAUGAAAAGAUAUUUUUCUGCCAAACUUAAAUUAUAU